rnacentral:rRNA from 1 species
GACGAACGCUGGCGGCGUGCUUAACACAUGCAAGUCGAACGGAAAGGCCCUGCUUUUGUGGGGUGCUCGAGUGGCGAACGGGUGAGUAACACGUGAGUAACCUGCCCUUGACUUUGGGAUAACUUCAGGAAACUGGGGCUAAUACCGGAUAGGAGCUCCUGCUGCAUGGUGGGGGUUGGAAAGUUUCGGCGGUUGGGGAUGGACUCGCGGCUUAUCAGCUUGUUGGUGGGGUAGUGGCUUACCAAGGCUUUGACGGGUAGCUGGCCUGAGAGGGUGACUGGCCACAUUGGGACUGAGAUACGGCCCAGACUCCUACGGGAGGCAGCAGUGGGGAAUAUUGCACAAUGGGCGGAAGCCUGAUGCAGCAACGCCGCGUGCGGGAUGACGGCCUUCGGGUUGUAAACCGCUUUCGCCUGUGACGAAGCGUGAGUGACGGUAAUGGGUAAAGAAGCACCGGCUAACUACGUG